AAUUUUUCUUUUCGUUUCUUCUUUUAAAAUAUCUUAGCAACAAGAGUUAGGAGUUAGAACGGGUUAUUCCCAAUUCAACUUCUUGGGUUGAAAAGGAAAUUUAUUUUCAAUUUUAUACGUUUCUUGCAUGAUCACGUUUUUGACUUUUUUUGGGUCAGAAUUUGGAGGCCACAUAAGUUCACCAACUCUCUCGAUAUUGCAGAGGGACUGGCAUAGAUCUCACACUCGAAAUUCAAGGUAGAGUCAUUCCAAGUUAUCCUUGCACUGGUAGGAUCUCUCUGUCCAAGCCAGUUUAGCAGAGGGUGCCAAACCGACGUCGUGGAACUACAAGGCUGACAACGUGAUGUCAGAGAAAGACUCUUCUGGCUCACUUGGCGAAUUUUCCCUGGAAAGCAGUGUUUAUAAGCCGCGGUGAGGCUGGUCAGAAUACAAGAAAUGCUGCCCUAAACUAUGGUGCUCGAAAGGAAAUUGUCAGCAAACCAUGUAUGUCCAUUUCCAAUGUUUUCCCUACGGAUCCUCGAAAUGAAAUCUUCACCAACCACAAACUUCAAGAGCCUCCUAACCUAACCUGCCGCCAAAAGGCCCACAGUGAUAUCAGCAUGUUAGAAAGGAGGUGUGAAGGGCACAAAUGACAAGAACCCAUCACCCAUGUCAUCAGUGAACCUGUUGCAGUUACCACAACGUUAAUAUUUUUCUCUUUAUCAGCUCCUUACCUUCUAUCCCUCGUAACACAAUUUUACAAUAGAAAAUCUGUAAAUAUCAUAAUGAAACUUCAAAUAUGUAAAUAUCAUAAUGAAGCCUCAGCUAAAUAACGUGUAAAGCAAAAUCCACGAUCUUCGAUCCUAUUCCAUCAUGAAACCUCAGCUAAAUAACGUGUAAAGCAAAAUCCAUGAUCUUCGAUCCUAUUCCCUGCCUCAGAACGCUAAAAUUUACUUGAUUUAAGCUUUGACAAGACAGAUUUUAAAAAUAUGAACAUCUCCUAGCAUUCUAUCUUCCACAGAAAUAAUUCUGUUUCGUCUUCCAAACAAAUUUUGACAGCAAAAUCCUUGAUAUCAUAAAAAAGACUUGACAUGGUCCAAAAGCUGAAUGCAUGCAUGCAACAGAUUUCUUACUUUAAACUGCUAUCUAACCACCCAAGACUGGGAAAAAAAAAA